rnacentral:lncRNA from 1 species
GAGCUAUUAAGUAGGUCACGAGAGCUGGUCCCCAUCCAGCAGUUUGUCUAAUUGCCUUUUUAUAGUCGCACCGUGCCACUCUUCAUUAUGCUGUCAGUGCUGCGGGAGGACGGGGCGGGGAGUGCCCGGAGCUGGGGACGAUGGCUGCGGCUCCGUCUGAAACGAUUUGCGGCUCAAACGCCCCCGCGAGACCCGCUAACCUUUGGGUAAGGUUUGGCUUCGCGAUCUUGCUUGGGUUCAAUAGGAAUUAGGGGGAGCACAGGAGGGACGCGGCUGCAGCCCUACACCCCCCAUCCCUGCAUCCUCCAUCCCCGCACACCCCAUCCCCGCAUCCUUCCAUCCCCCCAUCCCCGCAUCUCCCCAUCCCACGUACCCCAUUCCUCCCAGUCCCGCUCCCGGCGGAGCAGCGCGCUGCGAGCAGCAGAGGUGAAUGCCCCGAUCCUCCUCGCCAUCUCUCCGUACCUCUCUUUUUCUUCUCUUCCUCUGCCUCUCUCCUCCUUUUCCUUCCUUUUUCUCUUUUUAUUUCCCCUCCUUUCGCUGCGUUCUAUCCCCAUUUUCAGCCGCCGGCAGAAGUUCGGGGCGAUUUUUAUUUCCAGGCGCCGCCGAACAAAAUCUCCUUCUCCCAC